GGCAGCAGAGCAGGAACAGUCAGCACCACUGAUCAGUGAAACAUGGCAGGACUCAGCAAAAGCAGGUGUUCCUGGACCGACAGAUAUCUCCCAGUCAAGAGCAGAACAGCCCAAGCAGCCACAACUAAACAUCUUCCCUAGAACCUGUCAUGGGGACAGGAAAAUAUGUUUUUCUAAAGAGUGGUACAGCAGAUAUAAAUGGCUCGAAUAUUCUCAGAGUAAAGACUCUGUAUAUUUAUAUAAUAUAUAUAUAUAAUAUAUAUUUUUAUAUAUUAAGAAUAAGUUAACAUAUAAGUGUUUCUUGUAAUCUUUUUUUUGUAUCCUUGUAAUCAUUAUAUGACCGUUGUUCCCUGUUGGGAAAUUCCUGUUACAUAAAUAAAGAUAUAAUUUCUUAUUUUUA